rnacentral:rRNA from 1 species
UACGUAGGGGGCUAGCGUUGUCCGGAAUCAUUGGGCGUAAAGAGCGUGUAGGCGGCUUUACAGGUCCGUUGUGAAAACUCGAGGCUCAACCUCGAGACGCCGGUGGAAACCGUAAAGCUAGAGUCCGGAAGAGGAGAGUGGAAUUUCCGGUGUAGCGGUGAAAUGCGUAGAGAUCGGAAGGAACACCGGUGGCGAAGGCGGCUACCUGGCCUAAUACUGACACUGAGGCACGAAAGCGUGGGGAGCAAACAGG